GUUGCCAAAAUUAAUAGGCAGUGUUGCUAUUUAGUUUACAUAAAGAUCAAAGAAUAGUUUGUUGUUCAUUUAACUUUGCAUAUCGUAUUAACUUCAACAGUUGUAACACAAAAAACUUUAUACAGCCCAUUAGCGACCACUGGGUUGUAACAAUUGCUGUUAAGUGUCAUGCACAAGCACAAGGACCACAAAGCAGCGACGAACAUCGAACCCGUCUUCUCUGGUUUAGAUGCGAGCACUUUAACCUAUGAGCCACAGCGUGAUACAAAGCAUAUAGCUUCGAACCUUGUAUUCUCUCGUUGUAAUGUAAUAAAGCUAUUGUAGUUCUUAUUUGGGCAAAUAUAUAUUAGUGUGCAUUAAGAUAGAUGCAGCAUAAUAUCCCGUAUUUCCUAUUUGUGUUUUUAACCAUCAACACGAAUAUAAAAAAAACAAUCGUUGUUUACUACUAAACGGGAAGAAACAAUGGAUUAAACAUGUCCCAUCUUACCCCACCUUAUUCCACUUUGACGCAAGCAGGUUCCGCCAUCUUUAUUUCACAGAAAAUGAAAAUCCACGAUAACAAUCGCACCGACAUCUACGUCAUAAUUACCUAUUGUUAUAAACAAAGCUUCCGGACAA